UAGGUCUUGUUGGAGAAGCAGGGCACGUGCAAUAUCUUUUCCGACUCUAACCUCUUCUUCACAAGCCUCUAGUUCGAUCUGAUUUUGCACGUGCUCCCCUUCUCCAACACGAUUUU